CUUUCUGCUUCUUGAAAACUCAUUUGUUAAAAAAUAUCUCCAGAAAAUGAGAGAGAAUGGACUAAUGAAGCAAAUGUAACAAAACCUUAACUGUUGAAUCUUGGUAUAGACCUUGGAAUGACCCACUUACCUGGAAUCACUGCUUCAAAUGUCGAGCCUGGAGACUGGGAACAGAGACAAGUAGUAGCCUCCAGCCAUGCUUUUAGAAGACAGUUUCAAGUCAGGUGCCUGUAGGAGGUGAGGUGGAGGGUGUGAACAUCCCGGGGCUGGUGGUGUUUGCCAUCAUCUUUGGUGUGGCCCUGCAGAAGCUGGGCCCUGAGAGAGCGCUGCUCAUCUGCUUCUUCAGCUCCUUCAGUGAUGCACCCUGGUGCUGGUCUCCUGGAUCAUGUGGAUGCAUCCUGGAUCAGAAGGUCAGAAAUCAGAAGGCGAGUGACUUCCUGGAGGUCCAGUGAUUGAGACUCCGAGCUGCCAAUGCAGGGGGUGUGGGUUCGAUCCCUGGUUGGGAAACAAAGAUUCCCACAUGCAAUGUGGCACAGCCAAAAAGAAAAAUAAAUCAGGAGGGUCAAUACAACAAAGACCAGGAGCACGUUAUGGCUAGAGGUGCAAAGAAGAGUGCUGACUUCAGAAUGACAGUGAAAAUAGUAGCCCAGAAAGCAUUGCCAAGGAACAGAAUCCUGCAGUGUUUACCAAAGAAGAACAUGAGCUACAUGGGUUGGUCAAAGGAAUGGACUUGAGAGUCCUGGUCCUGACAGUAGGUAGAAGCUCAGGCCAAUUCUCAUCACCUCCCAGAAACACGCUGGGGAGAGAUGUAGAGGAUGGUUUGAUUAGUCCAGAAGUUGUUUGGACAGUAAUAAGAAACAUGUACAGGAGACAAUUAAGGCUGUGUUUCACACAACUAAUAAGAAGCCAAAUUGGGACAAAAAUAUCAUCUCUGAUAUUGAGUCAUGGAACAGUGUUUUUAUCUAACAACUCCCUUUGCUAUGGUGAUGUUCCUACCUUCAAAAUAAAGCUGUGGGGCAAUUGGCCAUAAAAUAAACAGUGGAUUCAGAGUGUUGUGGAGAUGCUCAAAAUCUUUAGACUCUCUAGUUUCUUCAGGGUUCCCUAAAGGCUUGAAGCGCAGGCAUCCUUACUAAGCUGAACAGGUAACCUGAAAGGGGUUUUAAUAAUGAUUAGUGUAUUAUGAGAGAAUUGUCUGAUUCAGGUUAUAAUAUCUGUGUGUUUGUGAGCAUCUGCAAUAUAAUCACUGUCUCACAGAAACACUUGAGAGGUUGUUUCAAGGGCCAAUGAUUGAUGCCUGUGGUCUACUGAGCUGUAAUAGUUUUCAUGAUGAUUGGGAAAAUCAGAGCACAUCUAUAAAUGCAAAAGUAGUCCCAGCAUCUUCAAAUAUUUGAAUAUUUGUAAAGUCAGUUAAUUCAAUAAGAGGCCCUAGACCUCUUUUUCUUGAAUAUUUUCUUCAAAUUGAUAAUUAGAUUAUAUUGAAUACAAUUUUUGUUGCAUUCCAAUAAGAUUAGUGCCCUUUCUUGGCCUGUGUACUUGUUCUAGUGUAUUUAUCUUCAUUUGGAAAAAUUUUUAUUAUUGCUAUUUCUUUUUACUCAUUAUUCAUUUUUCUACAAGGUAUUUUUAUUUAUACAUAACCAUUCCACAUGUAAAUUUCUGGUACUAAAAUUUUAUUUUCUGAAAUAUUAAAGCUGC
ensembl:lncRNA